UACGUAGGGACCUAGCGUUGUCCGGAAUCAUUGGGCGUAAAGCGCGCGUAGGCGGCCCGGUAAGUCCGUUGCAAAAGUCAAAGGCUCAACCUUUGAAAGCCGAUGGAUACUGCCGGGCUAGAGUCCGGAAGAGGCGAGUAGAAUUCCUGGUGUAGCGGUGGAAUGCGCAGAUAUCAGGAGGAACACCUAUGGCGAAGGCAGCUCGCUGGGACGAUACUGACGCUGAGACGCGAAAGCGUGGGGAGCAAACAGG
rnacentral:rRNA from 1 species